CCUUCCCCCAGUGCUUUCACAAACCAUCUAAGGUUUGGCUGUGGGUCUCUGCAUCUGUUGUGGUCAACUGCUGGGUGGAAGUUCUCAGAGAACAGUCUCCUGUCGGUGAAUCCAGGUUGAUGAACACAAACAUAACCUGAGGCUCCAAUGGGAGGAACACAGGUCAGAAAUGUGUUGGUAUAGAUCUUCUGAGGACAGCUCAGCACUUUACCCCAAAACUGGCAGGUGUUUUUUCUGCAUUCAUUUCUGUCCAUUUCACACAGGACACCUGUGUAUCCAGGACAGCAGUGACAAAUACAGCUGUCAAAAGUAUCUUCACAUCUUGCAUCACUAUGACAAGGCUUUGACCAACAAAGAGGCAUCAGAGUCUCACAAUGUGUCCCUGUGAAUUUACUAACAGUGUAGACACUACUGUAAUUCUUCCCUCCUUCCCAACAUAGAUCUCCAUGGAGACAUGGCUGACUGGCACAUUCAUCAGAAUUGAGUUCACAGUGGUCUCCAAGGAAUCCAGGUGCAGAGUCACAGAAGUGAGCCCCAAGAGCAUCCUGACACACAUUACCACGUAGACAUCAUCAAUUUCCAACUCACAGUUCACACCAGAAUACUCUUGAGGAUAGACACACGUGUGUAUCUUCCUAUCACCUUGAGACAUACAGCCUCAUUCAUGCAGGGAUCAGAAAUACUUCCAUCCAACUCCAACUCACCAUGCCUGCUUUGGUAUCCAGGCAAAGAGAUGCAGCAGGUACCAUGGUUUCCUUCCUGGCACAGAGCUCCAUUGUGCAGGUCACACUGUCACCAUUUACAAAGGACAUUUGAGGCACAGAAGGGUGACAAUCUUGUCCCAAAUCACAGCUGUUAUGUGGAGAAACUUCACUGGAUCCUAGCACCUUGGUCUGGCUGCGAAGACACUCUUCAUCUCAUACCCGCUGCCUCUGGUCAAUAAAUGUUGUCUGAAUGCUGACUAAGCUA